UCAGUGGAGCUGAUUGGCUGCAGGAGCAGGAGCAGGAGCAGGAGCAGUUCCAGAACCAGGUCCUGACACCAGUGCCCCUGAGUGGACUAAGUGCAUCCAUCUGAGAUCUGGACUAAGUACAUCCAACCAGACCAACAAGGGUCAUGAAGAGGAUCCUGAGCUCUCUGCUGGGGUUUUGGUGCACCCAGGUUUUCUGUGUGACAGGAAUGCAGGUGGAGCAGAGUCCUCCAGCCCAGAUCCUCCAGGAGGGAGCCAAUUCCACUCUGUCAUGCAGUUUUUCUGCCUCGGUGACCAGUGUGCAGUGGUUCCGCCAAGAUCCUGGGGGACGCCUCUUCAGCCUGUUCUACAUUCCUUCAGGGACAAAGCAGAAUGGAAGACUAAAGGCCACGACAGUCACUAAAGAACGCCACAGCUCCUUGUCCAUCUCCUCCUCCCAGCCCUCAGACUCAGCCACUUAUUUCUGUGCUGCAGCCCACAGUGCUCCCCAGGCGCCUGCAGCUGGUACACAAACCCUCAGCUGAGCUCAGCCCCACGCCAGCCACAGGUGCGUCACAGGGCCACUGCAGCAACCUCUUCACUGCUUAGUGUCACUUACCUACGUCGGUGGAGCUGUGCCUACAGAUAAUUUUGUACAGUGUAGAUUUGGGGCUUUGGCUUUUAACUUCAUUUCCUCUGAAAUGUAAUUUUCCAACUUGCAACUAGUAGAUAGCUUAAAAGAAGAUUAAAUCAAAUUACAUACUUAAGCUCCAGAAUUCUGAACUCCAAACAAGACAGAAAAAAAGGAACUAAAGGAAAGGAAAAUCUUUCAGAUGAAGACUUUACUGAUGAUUAGUAGUUGAGCUGGACGCCUCAAGCAAGCACUUUCAGUUCUGCCUCACCACCACCUGCAGGCAAAGGGUGGAUAUUGUGUUUGUCAUUCCUUCUACCAGGGUGCAGGGAAAACAGUAAA